CUCGAACGUAAGAUGACUGUAGGUGAAAGCUUACAUCUCUUCGGAGCAUUUUACGAGGUGCUGCAUGGUUGUCGUCAGCUCGUGCCGUGAGGUGUCGGGUUAAGUCCCAUAACGAGCGCAACCCCUACCUUUAGUUGCCAUCAGGUAAUGCUGGGGACUCUAAAGGAACUGCCUACGGCAAGUAGUGAGGAAGGCGGGGAUGACGUCAAAUCAGCACGGCCCUUACGUCCAGGGCUACACACGUGCUACAAUGGCCGAUACAGAGGGCAGCUACCUGGUGACAGGAUGCAAAUCUCCAAAAGUCGGUCUCAGUUCGGAUCGGAGGUCUGCAACCCGACUCCGUGAAGUUGGAUUCGCUAGUAAUCGCGCAUCAGCCAUGGCGCGGUGAAUACGUUCCCGGGCCUU
rnacentral:rRNA from 1 species